rnacentral:rRNA from 1 species
UGAGGAAUAUUGGUCAAUGGAGGCAACUCUGAACCAGCCAUGCCGCGUGCAGGAAGACUGCCCUAUGGGUUGUAAACUGCUUUUAUACGGGAAGAAACAACUCUACGUGUAGAGUCUUGACGGUACCGUAAGAAUAAGCACCGGCUAACUCCGUGCCAGCAGCCGCGGUAAUACGGAGGGUGCAAGCGUUCUCCGGAAUCAUUGGGUUUAAAGGGUCCGCAGGCGGUCGAUUAAGUCAGAGGUGAAAUCCCAUAGCUUAACUAUGGAACUGCCUUUGAUACUGGUUGACUUGAGUUAUACGGAAGUAGGUAGAAUAAGUAGUGUAGCGGUGAAAUGCAUAGAUAUUACUUAGAAUACCGAUUGCGAAGGCAGCCUACUACGUAUAUACUGACGCUCAUGGACGAAAGCGUGGGGAGCGAACAGG